GUGCUCACUUCGAGGGCACGUGUACUGAAACUGGAAAGAGACAAAGAUUAGCAUGCCCCCUGAGCAAGGAUGACAUGUAGAUUCCUGAAGUAUUCCACAUUUAA
rfam:Myotis brandtii contig318545, whole genome shotgun sequence.